AGUGAACGCUGGCGGUAGGCCUAACACAUGCAAGUCGAACGGCAGCACAGUAAGAGCUUGCUCUUACGGGUGGCGAGUGGCGGACGGGUGAGGAAUAUAUCGGAAUCUACUUUUUCGUGGGGGAUCACGUAGGGAAACUUACGCUAAUACCGCAUACGACCUACGGUUGAAAGCAGUGGAUCUUCGGACCUUGCGCGAUUGAAUGAGCCGAUGUCGGAUUAGCUAGUUGGCGGGGUAAAGGCCCACCAAGGCGGGGAUCCGUAGCUGGUCUGAGAGGAUGAUCGCCGACACUGGAGCUGAGACACGGUCCAGACGCCUACGGGAGGCAGCAGUGGGGAAUAUUGGACAGUGGGCGCAAGCCUGAUCCAGCCAGACCGCGUGGGAGAAGAAGGCCUUCGGGUUGUAAAGCCCUUUUGUUGGGAAAGAAAAGCAGCAGGUUAAUACCCAGCUGUUCUGACGGUACCCAAAGAAUAAGCACCGGCUAACUUCGUG
rnacentral:rRNA from 1 species